rnacentral:rRNA from 1 species
GUAAUAGCUCACUGGUCGAGUCGGCCCGCGCGGAAGAUGUAACGGGGCUAAACCAUGCACCGAAGCUGCGGCAGCGAACGUAUCACUUAAAUUUGUUUGAGUGAAUAACGAUUGACGGAACGAAGUGACGUCAAUGCGUUAAUGAAAGUCGAGGCGAAAGCACGACAAAGCGAAUUUAAGGAUACGUUCGUUGGGUAGGGGAGCGUUCUGUAAGCCUGCGAAGGUGUACUGUGAGGUAUGCUGGAGGUAUCAGAAGUGCGAAUGCU